rnacentral:rRNA from 1 species
UACCAGCACCCCGAGUGGUCGGGACGUUUUAUUGGGCCUAAAGCAUCCGUAGCCGGUUCUACAAGUCUUCCGUUAAAUUCACCUGCUUAACAGAUGGGCUGCGGAAGAUACUAUAGAGCUAGGAGGCGGGAGAGGCAAGCGGUACUCGAUGGGUAGGGGUAAAAAUCCGUUGAUCCAUUGAAGACCACCAGUGGCGAAGGCGGCUUGCCAGAACGCGCUCGACGGUGAGGGAUGAAAGCUGGGGGGAGCAAACCGG